CGGGUUGUAAAGCACUUUCAGUUGUAAGGAAGGUGGUGUCGUUAAUAGCGGCAUCAUUUGACGUUAGCAACAGAAGAAGCACCGGCUAACUCCGUGCCAGCAGCCGCGGUAAUACGGAGGGUGCGAGCGUUAAUCGGAAUUACUGGGCGUAAAGCGCAUGCAGGUGGUUUGUUAAGUUCAGAUGUGAAAGACCCGGGGCGUCAACCUCGGAACUGCAUUUGAAACUAGGCAGACUAGAGUACUGUAGAGGGGGGUAGGAAUUUCAGGUGUAGCGGUGAAAUGCGUAGAGAUCUGAAGGAAUACCGGUGGCGAAGGCGGCCCCCUGGACAGAUACUGACACUCAGAUGCGAAAGCGUGGGGAGCAAACAGGAUUAGAUACCCUGGUAG
rnacentral:rRNA from 1 species